rnacentral:rRNA from 1 species
CGGAACGGGUGAGUAAUGCGUGACCAACCUGCCCCAUGCUCCAGAAUAGCUCUUGGAAACGGGUGGUAAUGCUGGAUGCUCCAACUUGACGCAUGUCUUGUUGGGAAAGUGUUUAGUGGCAUGGGAUGGGGUCGCGUCCUAUCAGCUUGUAGGCGGGGUAAUGGCCCACCUAGGCUUCGACGGGUAGCCGGCCUGAGAGGGCGGACGGCCACAUUGGGACUGAGAUACGGCCCAGACUACUACGGGAGGCAGCAGCG